rnacentral:lncRNA from 1 species
GACGUUUGCGCUGGUCCCGUAUCCCGUGAACUCGUUUGGACCCCCAUUUCCACGUUUACCAUAGUUAACAAACGACUGGUCUCCAGCGUUUGCGUUCUCGCUGUAGCUUUUGAAGGAUUGAGAUCUUCCAGUGGCAUCAGAGGAGUAGGUGGUGAACCGGAGAUUUGGGACAUUGACUGAUUGUUCGUAGGUUGUGAACUUGCCGUCCCCUCCGAUGGCUUUGGAGGCAUAAGUGUUAAAGCUCUGGUCUGGGACGUUGGUGUCAGUGCCGUAGACUGAAAAUCGGUCGGUGUGGCCCAAGGCCUCGUGACUGUAGCGCCUGAAGGAAUCGACGACAA